rnacentral:rRNA from 1 species
GUCCUCUGCAUUGGAACGUUCAUCUCGGUUGGAUCGGGGGCGGCGACUUUGUUCUGGCUUGACCAAUGGGCGGGUGCCACCCCCUUCGCGGCACGCUUCCCCGACCUCUUCUCCAUCGCUGUCGCCCCCAUGAUCUCUGUAGAGAGGGCCCUUGUUGACUUAGGGCGCCUCGCUUUCCGGAGGCCAUUUGGGCCUCCGGAGGCCGCCGCUUGGCAGGAGCUGCUUGACUACGUCGCUCUCCACGAGCCGGUUGUGGAUGCUGGCCCGGAUGAGGUUCGGUGGUGCCUUGAGCCUUCGGGCCAAUUCUCCACCAAGUCCCACUAUCUGGCCAUCGCCCCCUCCUCCGCCCCGCUCCCCUUUGCGGUGUGGUCCAUCCGCUUGCCACUAAAAAUCCGGGUAUUCAUGUGGCAAUGGAUCCGCGGACGGAUCCCGUCUAGGGUGGAGGUUCGCAAGCGUAACAACCCUGGGUCUGGCCUCUGCCCGCUGUGUGGUACCCCCGAAGAUUCCAAUCACAUCUUCUUCUCAUGUGUGUCCGCUCAAUUCGUUUGGAGCUGCUUUAGAGAGGUGGGGGUGGUGAUUGGUGCCACACCAACUUCCCCGACCUCUUCGCCGAACUCCAGAACUCCCCCCCUGCCCUCUCGCCACAUUAGGUGGCUUGAGAUUGGGGCACUCGCGUGGACCCUCUGGACGAUCCGCAAUAAGCUUGUGAUUCAGCGCGUCCCUCUCCGACGGGCUACUGACGCUCUCUUCAAACUAUCUGGUUUCUUGCAGCUCUGGCGGCCGCUUAGCCGCCUUCGGGAUCGGGACGCCAUCUCCGUCUUCAUCGCCGACCUCCGCUCGAUGGCUGUCCGCCUAUCGCCGCCGCUCCCUCCGCCACCCUCAGAGCCUGAUUAG